rnacentral:tRNA from 7 species
GGAGGUAUACCCAAGUUCGGCUGAAGGGAUCGGUCUUGAAAACCGACAGGCGGGUCAAACCGCGCGGGGGUUCGAAUCCCUCUACCUCCUCCA